AUUUAUUAUUAUUUUAUCUCUAGUUUUGGAAUAUCGAAUCUUGCUGCUACUAUUGUUUGUAGGUUGUGUAAAUUUUUAGCAAUUUGUUUGUUCUACCAUAAAGUAUAACUGUAGGAAAGGGUACGCAGGCUUCUAAAAGUGAAGAACAACUCUAACUUCUUUGGUAAGCGGAAAAGGUACUGCAAAGAAAAGCGUCACAUGACCGUUUUAAGAAUGGACUCUUUCGUUUGUUUUGCCCAAUGAACCUGUGCUUGGAACUGGCAGGGGGAUGGAUUGAUGAUACUUGUUGGUUAAACCAUGAAGAAUACGAAUAGAUGGACGAACGAGAAAGAGCCUCUAGCUGCAUCCAGGCAGAAACUAGUAGUUUCUGAAACAUUGUUUUGACAAAUACUGUUGCAGGUUGCAGGUUUUCAUUAAAUACCAAGCUAUCGGGAACUUCGCGAACACCGGGAACCUCGCAAACACUGGAAACCGUUGAGUUAUUAAAACGCUGGCGCUCAUCAACACCGGAGCGUACUGUCAAUUUGUCCAGCGGCAAGCCAUCUAUGGAGCUUCAGCCAUGGUACUGACAGCAGACAGCUGAUUCAUUUGGCAUGGCGUCGUUGACGAGAAUGGUAGACAUUGGAGGUUGUUUUCAUUGAAAUUUCUCCUUUGAUUUCCUGCAAUUUCAGGAUAUACAUAAUAUGCUGCGUUGGCCCAUUAGAUCCAUCCAUGACAAAAGGAAUGUCACAUAAAUUUCAGGUGGAAGGUGGAACAGAGAAAUUGUUUCAAUGUAAAUAAAAUAUAUCCAAUAUCA
rnacentral:lncRNA from 1 species